GACGAACCGUGCGAACGUUGUUCGGAUUCACUGGGCUUAAAGGGCGCGUAGGCGGAAGGUCAAGUCCGAGGUGAAAUCUUUCGGCUCAACCGGAAAAGUGCCUUGGAUACGGAUCUUCUCGAGGGAGGUAGGGGCAUGUGGAACUUCCGGUGGAGCGGUGAAAUGCGUAGAUAUCGGGAGGAACACCGGUGGCGAAGGCGGUUCUCUGGGCCUGUACUGACGCUGAGGAGCGAAAGCGUGGGGAGCGAACAGG
rnacentral:rRNA from 1 species